rnacentral:rRNA from 11 species
CUGCCAGUAGUCAUAUGCUUGUCUUAAGGAUUAAGCCAUGCAUGUCUCAGUACGAACGAUUUUGUACCGUGAAACUGCGAAUGGCUCAUUACAACAGUUAUAGUUUAUUUGAUCGUGCGGCGCUACGUGGAUAACCGUAGGAAUUCUAGAGCUAAUACAUGCCCCAUCGUUGUUUCUCCGGUAUCCUUCAGAUGGAUUUCUUUUAAAAAAAAAAAUAAAGAAGCUCAUCUGAAGGAUACCAGAAGAAAAGCAACGGGAUUUAUUAGAUCAAAAACCAAUCGUCCUCCUUCGUGAGGGCGUGGCGGGAUGAAUCAUGAUAACUUCCCAAAUCGCAUGGCUUUCUAAUUUUGGCCGGCGGUAAAUCAUUCAAAUUUCUGCCCUAUCA